GAUGAAGAACGUAGCGAAAUGCGAUAAGUAAUGUGAAUUGCAGAAUUCAGUGAAUCAUCGAAUCUUUGAACGCACAUUGCGCCCCUUGGUAUUCCGAGGGGCAUGCCUGUUCGAGCGUGAUUAUAACCCCUCAAGCUCAGCUUGGUGUUGGGGCCUGCUGCACUGGCAGCCCUUAAAAUCAGUGGCGGCGCCAUCUGGCUCUAAGCGUAGUAAUUCUUCUCGCUAUGGAGUCCUGGUGGAUGCUUGCCAUCAACCCCCAAUUUUUCUAUGGUUGACCUCGGAUCAGGUAGGGAUACCCGCUGAACUUAAGCAUAUCAAUAAGCGGAGGA
rnacentral:misc_RNA from 1 species